GAUGAACGCUGGCGGCGUGCUUAACACAUGCAAGUCGAACGACGCACCUUGAUUUGAUUCUUCGGAUGAAGAUCUUGGUGACUGAGUGGCGGACGGGUGAGUAACGCGUGGGUAACCUGCCUCAUACAGGGGGAUAACAGUUAGAAAUGACUGCUAAUACCGCAUAAGACCACAGCACCGCAUGGUGCAGGGGUAAAAACUCCGGUGGUAUGAGAUGGACCCGCGUCUGAUUAGGUAGUUGGUGGGGUAACGGCCUACCAAGCCGACGAUCAGUAGCCGACCUGUGAGGGUGACCGGCCACAUUGGGACUGAGACACGGCCCAAACUCCUACGGGAGGCAGCAGUGGGGAAUAUUGCACAAUGGGGGAAGCCCUGAUGCAGCGACGCCGCGUGAGCGAUGAAGUAUUUCGGUAUGUAAAGCUCUAUCAGCAGGGAAGAAAAUGACGGUACCUGACUAAGAAGCACCGGCUAAAUACGUG
rnacentral:rRNA from 1 species